UACGUAGGGUGCAAGCGUUUGUCCGGAAUUAUUGGGCGUAAAGAGCUCAUAGGCGGUCUGUCACGUCGGCUGUGAAAUCCCGAGGCUCAACCUCGGGUCUGCAGUCGAUACGGGCAAACUAGAGUAUUGCAGGGGAGACUGGAAUUCCUGGUGUAGCGGUGAAAUGCGCAGAUAUCAGGAGGAACACCGGUGGUGAAGGCGGGUCUCUGGGCAAUAACUGACGCUGAGGAGCGAAAGCGUGGGGGAGCGAACAGG
rnacentral:rRNA from 1 species